rnacentral:rRNA from 1 species
GAUGAACGCUGGCGGCGUGCCUAACACAUGUAAGUCGAACGGUGAACCUUGCUUUAUAGCGAGGGGAACAGUGGCGUCCUGGUGAGUAACACGUAGGUGACCUACCCCACAGAGGGGAAUAACCGCGCGAAAGCGAGGCUAAUACCCCAUACAGUCAACCAGUCAGAUGGUUGAUGAAAGCUACGGCGCUGAGGGAGGGGCCUGCGGCCUAUCAGCUAGUUGGUAGGGUAACGGCCUACCAAGGCUACGACGGGUAGCUGGUCUGAGAGGAUGAUCAGCCACAAUGGCACUGAAACACGGGCCAUACUCCUACGGGUGGCAG